rnacentral:lncRNA from 1 species
GAGAAGGAAAAGAGAUCCACAGUCCUGUCCCCACUAGCAAUUCAGCCUACAGGUAUCUCAUCACCUGAGGUCAUCUUGCCCUUCAGAUCAAGCCCCUGGUCUCAGCCUGGAUUAUGGAAUCAGUCGGACAAUGCUCCAUGCUCACAAAGCCCCUCAUCCAGAGGUAAAUAGUGCCUGCAUUGCCAGCUGAUUCCUUGAAGACUCUGGACAGCUAUCUGCCAGCUGGACCACAGGCAAAUUGCUGUGCUAUGAGGAGCAAGCUUAACCAAUAGAAAGGAAGUGACAAGCUUAUUGAGUUCUUGAGAGAUACAACACUGACCUUAUGCAGCAGAGCUGAUGACACAUUCCACCUCUAAUUACAAGCCAGAGAUGAAGGGUUUGCCCUGGCAAAGGCAGAGUACAUGGAAUGCUGUGAGGGGAUUAGUCCCAUCUUGCAUGCAUGGGAUACCCACAGGACAGCUGGCACACAGCAGCACAUCACUCCUCCAUCCUGCUGCUGCUGCUGUUGGGCAUUAAAAGAGCUGUUGCUGGGUUCGUGAGCAGCAUGGCUUUUUAGGCACAGUAUGGCAAGGAAAAACGCCUCCUGCAAAGGUCCCAGAAGAGCUUCAGCCCAAGGCAGAUGCCAGCAUGCCGAGGCCUCUCAGAGAGCACCUUCCCUGUGAUCAGGGAGCUGAGCUACCCCUGCCCAGGGUCUGGAAAUGGAAAACUGAAGAGCUACAUCCCCUGAGUUUCAUCCCCUGUGACAGCAGGCUGUGAAGGAGUGGAAGAUUUUAACAGCCCUCAGAAUCUGCACACUCACAGGUACAGUGUCUCCUCUACCUCUCCCUAAUCCUUACAAGUAAAAUGGGAGAGAACUUGUGAACAUACAACUAUGUGAUGAAUGAUUUUUAUGUCCAUUACAGGUUUGAACUCUUCCUGUGAAAAUGAACAGUCACCACUCUAUAAAU